UUUCAUAGCUCAGUUGGUUAGAGCAUGGGUCUAAUGAUGCCAAGGUUGUGGGUUCAAUCCCUCUAUGGCAG